rnacentral:rRNA from 1 species
UACGGAGGGAGCUAGCGUUGUUCGGAAUUACUGGGCGUAAGCGCACGUAGGCGGCUUUGUAAGUUAGAGGUGAAAGCCCGGGGCUCAACCCCGGGAAUUGCCUUUAAAAGACUGCAUCGCUUGAAUCCGGGAGAGGUGGAGUGGAAUUCCGAGUGUAGAGGUGAAAUUCGUAGAUAUUCGGAAGAACACCAGUGGCGAAGGCGGCUCACUGGACCGGUAUUGACGCUUGAGGUGCGAAAGCGUGGGGAGCAAACAGG